rnacentral:rRNA from 1 species
GACGAACGCUGGCGGCGUGCCUAACACAUGCAAGUCGAGCGAAUGAAGUUCCUUCGGGAACGGAUUUAGCGGCGGACGGGUGAGUAACACGUGGGCAACCUGCCUCAUAGAGGGGAAUAGCCUUCCGAAAGGGAGAUUAAUACCGCAUAAGAUUGUAGUACCGCAUGGUACAGCAAUUAAAGGAGCAAUCCGCUAUGAGAUGGGCCCGCGGCGCAUUAGCUAGUUGGUGAGGUAACGGCUCACCAAGGCGACGAUGCGUAGCCGACCUGAGAGGGUGAUCGGCCACAUUGGGACUGAGACACGGCCCAGACUCCUACGGGAGGCAGCAGUGGGGAAUAUUGCACAAUGGGGGAAACCCUGAUGCAGCAACGCCGCGUGAGUGAUGACGGCCUUGGGUGUAAGCUCUGUCUUCAGGGACGAUAAUGACGGUACCCGAGGAGGAAGCCACGGCUAACUACGUGCCAGCAGCCGCGGUAAUCUGUAGUCGUCU